CUAACUUGUUCAGUGCUUUGCAGACAGGCGCUCCUCGGGCAGCUCAAAUAUCUCUUUCAGGCUGUGAGGACGCCAGGGCAAUGGGCGUGGCUUAUCAGGAUUAUAAAUAGCUGAUGCACCCGCCAUCUUUCUCUUCUCCCUUUUGGUGUUGGAGUGGUAACAUGGCGCUUUGUGUCCAGCUGUGUCUGGAGAUGGCGGCCAAGCGCCACUUUCAGUCCGUUCUGUAUCCGAGCCAUCCUGGUGGAUAUCGUCCCCAGAUACCCCCACAAAGGUAAUGUAAGCCAUGUUGGUGAGAUGGAUUGGGUCUAUGUGUUGGCGGAUGUGAAUGGCGUAUAGAUGGGUGUACUGAGCUGACGGUCAGAGGAAUGACACUGCUGUAUGCUGCAAUCUAAGGUGCAGUGACUAUUUAAUCUCAAUCUGAUUCAUGUGACUUCUUCAGCUGGUCGCCAUCACUGACCUCGGUGGUGCUAAGGAUUUGCUUGAACAAGUUACCUGUUGGCUCUUCCCAUGGUACCGACUGCCACAAUGUUCCUCCUGAUGGGAUUAGGGUAAAGAUUCUUUCUAACAUUCAGAGUGCAGAGGACAAGACUACAAAUUUAAAGUUAUUUGAUCUGUCUAAAGUGAAAGCAAUAAAAGAUUCAUUCAAUUACA